UACGUAGGUGACAAGCGUUGUCCGGAUUUACUGGGCGUAAAGAGCGCGCAGGCGGUCGAUCAAGUCGAGUGUGAAAGCCCCCGGCUCAACUGGGGAGGGUCAUUCGAUACUGAUCGACUCGAAGGCAGGAGAGGGUAGUGGAAUUCCCGGUGUAGUGGUGAAAUGCGUAGAUAUCGGGAGGAACACCAGUGGCGAAGGCGGCGACCUGGGCAGAUACUGACACUGAGGUGCGAAAGCGUGGGGAGCAAACAGG
rnacentral:rRNA from 1 species